AUGAGUUCUUCCUCCACCGCCGCGGCUCCUGCCGUGCGCUCCGGCGUGUGGGACGGCUCUGUGGUGGACAACGACAUCAUCGAGCACCUCCGCAAGAUGCGCCGGCUCCCCGGCGCGAACCUGGUGCGAGCCUGUGCCGCGCCGGCGGGGGAAAUAAGGCCGGCGCCGGAGGAGGGCGAGCGGGUAAUAUUCCGCUCGCACCUCACGCGCGGCCUGGGGCUGUCGGUGAGCGGUUUCUUCCGCUCCUUCCUGGAGUUCAACGGGUUCCAGCCGCACCACCUCACUCCGAACACGGUGGUGCUGCUGGCCGCCUUCGCCACCCUGUGCGAGGGUUUCCUUGGUGUUCUCCCCACCAUUGAGCUGUGGGGAGAGUUCUUCCAAUCCAAACUCGGCACGCACGUCGCCGGCAUACCAGCUCAGUGCGGCGCCUUCAUCGCGAUGCGAAGGUCGACCGCCGACAAUCCCUUCCCCUCCAUCGCGCUGAUUAAGUUGGUGAAGAUGUGGCAGCGGUCGUACUUCUACGUGAAGAACGUCGCCCCAGAAGGAGACUGGGUCAACCUGCCGCCCUACGAAGCCGACGCGCCGGCUGGGAGGCUUCCCAGCUGGUCCCACUGGGCCAAGACGCUGACUCCCGCAGGUGCCGCCGCCGUCGCGCGACUCCGAGUGCUGACGCAGUCGGAAGGCUUUGUUGGGGCCGACUUGCUGUCCGCCUUCGUGGCGCAUCAAGUCCUCCCGCUGCAAGGCCGACCUCAUCUGAUCUGUCAGAUGAGCGACCACCGGGACCCGAGUCGGAUGUGCACCAGGGACAUGCCCCACGCGGAGGUGGCAAACAUGGUGAACCACAUCGCGAACUGCGAGCUCAUGGCGGACUGGCAGUUCGGCAAAGAGCCGUACUCGCGCGCCAACCCCCCGCUAGUGGUAAGUCGUAUUUUUGUUCUUCUGUUUUUCUUUGUAGCCGAGUCCGACUUCUAA
rnacentral:rRNA from 1 species